rnacentral:rRNA from 1 species
GACGAACGCUGGCGGCGUGCCUAAUACAUGCAAGUUGAGCGCUGAAGGUUGGUACUUGUACCAACUGGAUGAGCAGCGAACGGGUGAGUAACGCGUGGGGAAUCUGCCUUUGAGCGGGGGACAACAUUUGGAAGCGAAUGCUAAUACCGCAUAAAAACUUUAAACACAAGUUUUAAGUUUGAAAGAUGCAAUUGCAUCACUCAAAGAUGAUCCCGCGUUGUAUUAGCUAGUUGGUGAGGUAAAGGCUCACCAAGGCGAUGAUACAUAGCCGACCUGAGAGGGUGGUCGGCCACAUUGGGACUGGGACACGGCCCAAACUCCUACGGGAGGCAGCAGUAGGGAAUCUUCGGCAAUGGACGAAAGUCUGACCGAGCAACGCCGCGUGAGUGAAGAAGGGUUUCGGAUCGUAAAACUCUGUUGGUAGAGAAGAACGUUGGUGAGAGUGGAAAGCUCAUCAAGUGACGGUAACUACCCAGAAAGGGACGGCUAACUACGUG